rnacentral:lncRNA from 1 species
UGAUGAUAGCUUUGUUGCUUCAAAAAAAAAAAGACUGUGACUCAGGUUUGCUAGCACUCAAAAAGACUUGGACUGAGGGCAGGUCUGAAAAAACUGAAUAUUUACCUGCGUUUUUGCCAAAAGCUGUAGUUUGAGGAUCUUCAAUGAAACCGAAGUUCAGUGAUGUUGUAGCAAUGAUGAUUUGGUUGGUUUCUUCCUAAUCCUUUGCAGGUGAAAAGAAUGUUGUCUUACUGAGCCCUCCCCCAGUUUGCUAUUUCAGUAAUUAUGCCAUUCCCUAGUGUGAGAGUAGGCUGCAAUUUUAAGGACCUCAGAAUUUUGCUACUGGCUCUCAGUGGUGGACUUUGCCAGAAAACUCUGUUGCAACCGGUUGGUAGAUGUCUGGUGCACAGGAGAUCAGAGAGCAACUCUGCAGAUCAUCAUACAUGUGGUACUGAAGAACAAUCUGAUGGAUCUUGUUUUUCCAAAGCACAGAGCUAAGAUUUGGGAACCUCACUGAGUGAAUCAGAUGAGCGUGAUGCGAAGAGCCAAGAAAUGGAGAAUCAAAAUAUCUUGUGGAUCACACCCAACAAAUAGCUGCUGCUCACCUCACCGUGGCUACAGUCAUCAUUCAAGCUGUGCUCGGUGGUGGGGUACAGCAAAGUCCCCUGUAAUUAACAGAGACAAACAAGGACUAUGUUGCAAUGUGAAGAUAUGCAAGGCCAAGUUAGAUACAAGAAAACAACCAAGCAACCAUUUUUUUGCCAAAAACCUUUUGUGAACUGCCAAGAACUGUGGAGCAUUGAAACUUUACUGCCAUUCUCUCUCUGUGAGGAACAUUGGCUUUGACCUGCCUUUUCCAACAUUAACAUAAUUCUAUGUGUGUGUGUCAUUAAAAUACACAACAAAAAGAACUGCUUCGCUGCCCAUUGUCCCUUGCUGGGAAGGAACAAAUUGAACAAUCCAAUGCCAUAUGCUUGUCACUUUGCUUCAUGCA